rnacentral:rRNA from 1 species
GAGUUUGAUCAUGGCUCAGAGCGAACGCUGGCGGCAGGCCUAACACAUGCAAGUCGAGCGGAUGUAGCAAUACAUCAGCGGCAGACGGGAUAGUAACACGUGGGAACGUGCCCUUUGGUUCGGAAUAACUCGGCGAAAGCCGUGCUAAUACCGGAUAAGCCCUUACGGGGAAAGAUUUAUCGCCAUUGGAGCGGCCCGCGUCUGAUUAGCUAGUUGGUGAGGUAAUGGCUCACCAAGGCGACGAUCAGUAGCUGGUCUGAGAGGAUGAUCAGCAUCACUGGGACUGAGACACGGCCCAGACUCCUACGGGAGGCAGCAGUGGGGAAUAUUGGACAAUGGGCGCAAGCCUGAUCCAGCCAUGCCGCGUGGAUGAUGAAGGCCUUAGGGUUGUAAAGUCCUUUUAACGGGGAAGAUAAUGACGGUACCCGUAGAAUAAGCCCCGGCUAACUUCGUGCCAGCAGCCGCGGU